GAUGAACGCUGGCGGCGUGCCUAAUACAUGCAAGUAGAACGCUGAAGGAGGAGCUUGCUCUUCUGGAUGAGUUGCGAACGGGUGAGUAACGCGUAGGUAACCUGCCUGGUAGCGGGGGAUAACUAUUGGAAACGAUAGCUAAUACCGCAUGACAACAGCUAUUGCAUGAUAACUGUUUAAAAGGGGCAACUGCUCCACUACCAGAUGGACCUGCGUUGUAUUAGCUAGUUGGUGAGGUAACGGCUCACCAAGGCGGGGAUACAUAUCCCACAUGAGAGGGGGGGCAGCCGCACUGAGACGGAGACACGGCCCAUAGGCCUAGGGAAGGCAGCAGGAGGGAGUCGUCAGCAAUGAGCGGAAAUCUGACCAAACAGCGCGGCGUGAGGAAGGAGGAAUGUCGGAUCGUAAAGCUCUGUUGUAGGGGAGGAACGAGUGUGAGAGUGGAAAGUUGACACAGUGACGGUAUCUGGCCAGAAAGGAACGGCUAACUACGUG
rnacentral:rRNA from 1 species